GCCGGCACGGCGCAGAUGGCGAGGCGCGGCGGACUGUAAAUCCGUUCUUUCGGGUGAGGGGGUUCGAGUCCCUCUGUCGGCACCA
rnacentral:tRNA from 2 species